rfam:Schistosoma curassoni strain Dakar, Senegal genome assembly, scaffold: SCTD_scaffold0011943
CAUCUUCUGAGGAGUCCCACAAUAGGACGAAACGGCCGUUCAGUGC